GACGAACUUUGGCGGCGUGCUUAACACAUGCAAGUCGAACGGAAAGGCCCUGCUUUUGUGGGGUGCUCGAGUGGCGAACGGGUGAGUAACACGUGAGUAACCUGCCCUUGACUUUGGGAUAACUUCAGGAAACUGGGGCUAAUACCGGAUAGGAGCUCCUGCUGCAUGGUGGGGGUUGGAAAGUUUCGGCGGUUGGGGAUGGACUCGCGGCUUAUCAGCUUGUUGGUGGGGUAGUGGCUUACCAAGGCUUUGACGGGUAGCCGGCCUGAGAGGGUGACCGGCCACAUUGGGACUGAGAUACGGCCCAGACUCCUACGGGAGGCAGCAGUGGGGAAUAUUGCACAAUGGGCGGAAGCCUGAUGCAGCAACGCCGCGUGCGGGAUGACGGCCUUCGGGUUGUAAACCGCUUUCGCCUGUGACGAAGCGUGAGUGACGGUAAUGGGUAAAGAAGCACCGGCUAACUACGUGCCAGCAGCCGCGGUGAUACGUAGGGUGCGAGCGUUGUCCGGAUUUAUUGGGCGUAAAGGGCUCGUAGGUGGUUGAUCGCGUCGGAAGUGUAAUCUUGGGGCUUAACCCUGAGCGUGCUUUCGAUACGGGUUGACUUGAGGAAGGUAGGGGAGAAUGGAAUUUCCUGGUGGAGCGGUGGAAUGCGCAGAUAUCAGGAGGAACACCAGUGGCGAAGGCGGUUCUCUGGGCCUUUCCUGACGCUGAGGAGCGAAAGCGUGGGGAGCGAACAGGCUUAGAUACCCUGGUAGUCCACGCUGUAAACGGUGGGUACUAGGUGUGGGGUCCAUUCCACGGGUUCCGUGCCGUAGCUAACGCUUUAAGUACCCCGCCUGGGGAGUACGGCCGCAAGGCUAAAACUCAAAGGAAUUGACGGGGCCCCGCACAAGCGGCGGAGCAUGCGGAUUAAUUCGAUGCAACGCGUAGAACCUUACCUGGGUUUGACAUGGAUCGGGAGUGCUCAGAGAUGGGUGUGCCUCUUUUGGGGUCGGUUCACAGGUGGUGCAUGCCUGUCGUCAGCUCGUGUCGUGAGAUGUUGGGUUAAGUCCCGCAACGAGCGCAACCCUUGUUCACUGUUGCCAGCACGUUAUGGUGGGGACUCAGUGGAGACCGCCGGGGUCAACUCGGAGGAAGGUGGGGAUGACGUCAAGUCAUCAUGCCCCUUAUGUCCAGGGCUUCACGCAUGCUACAAUGGCUGGUACAGAGAGUGGCGAGCCUGUGAGGGUGAGCGAAUCUCGGAAAGCCGGUCUCAGUUCGGAUUGGGGUCUGCAACUCGACCUCAUGAAGUCGGAGUCGCUAGUAAUCGCAGAUCAGCAACGCUGCGGUGAAUACGUUCCCGGGGCU
rnacentral:rRNA from 1 species